rnacentral:rRNA from 1 species
GACGAACGCUGGCGGCGUGCCUAAUACAUGCAAGUAGAACGCACAGUUUAUACCGUAGCUUGCUACACCAUAAACUGUGAGUUGCGAACGGGUGAGUAACGCGUAGGUAACCUGCCUGGUAGCGGGGGAUAACUAUUGGAAACGAUAGCUAAUACCGCAUAAUAUUGAUUAUUGCAUGAUAAUUGAUUGAAAGAUGCUAUUGCAUCACUACCAGAUGGACCUGCGUUGUAUUAGCUAGUAGGGGAGGUAACGGCCCACCUAGGCGACGAUACAUAGCCGACCUGAGAGGGUGCUCGGCCAAACUGGGAUGGGGACACGGCCCAGACUACUACGGGAGGCAGCAGUAGGGGAUCUUUGGCAAUGGAAGAAAGUCUGACCGAGCAACGCCGCGUGAGUGAAGAAGGUUGUCGGAUCGUAAAGCUCUGUUGUAAGAGAAGAACGGGUGUGAGAGUGGAAAGUUCACACUGUGACGGUAUCUUACCAGAAAGGGACGGCUAACUACGUG